UGUUCGGCAACCCGUCUGUCCGUUUUUUUUUAUUUAUUUAGGCUGGUUUGUUGGGCUCCCGGUGUAUUUUUGCAUUUCUUGUGCACUUCGACAUGGCUACACUGCACUAUUGGACUACGACAAGCGUGUUUUGGACAAUCAAGGAGCAGAUGGCGAACAUCCUCAUCUUUGUCACGGCUUGAUCCUGUGGCAACGGCUUCACCAAUACUCGACUUCAAUUUCGCAGUUUCUACAACCAGUUGUAGAUACAACCCCUGUGUUCUUCAGACGAUUGGAUGGAUUCCACCACUUUUGAGCUGAUUGGUCGGAUCGUACUCCGUG